rnacentral:rRNA from 1 species
CGACGUGAGGAACCUGCCUUCCAGAGGGGGACAACAGUUGGAAACGACUGCUAAUACCGCAUGACGCAUGACUGUGGCAUCACAGACAUGUCAAAGAUUUAUCGCUGGAAGAUGGCCUCGCGUCUGAUUAGCUAGUUGGUGAGGUAACGGCCCACCAAGGCGACGAUCAGUAGCCGGACUGAGAGGUUGGCCGGCCACAUUGGGACUGAGAUACGGCCCAGACUCCUACGGGAGGCAGCAG